UUUUCCUUUGUACAGGUUUUGAUAAAUCUCCCCGAUAGUUUUUGGGACCUUGUAGAGUGGGCAAGUGUGUUAAAGGGCCUGUCUGUUGUUUUUUUGUUUUUAAGAAGGGUUCCAAAAAGCAAGCAUAACUCACUUGUCUUAUCCGCCGUUAUUGCCAUUUUGGCACUCACAAGGACCCCGCCCCUGCUGAUCACCACUUUCUGUCCCAUCUGAGCACACAGGAAAUGGAUACAGUAACCAGGGAAAGAAAAUGACUGGUGUCUACAGUAGAUAUAGCACCCACCGACUUGUUUGUGUCAGAGCUACUGCCACUAUAUCUUGCCAGCGCAAUGCAGUGCAGACCCCUUCCAGACAUCACAAGUGAGAGAGGAACAUGAAGAAUACGGCUGCAACUAACAGACAUCGUGAUAAUAAUAGAAUUAAGAACAAAGGCAACCUAGGAAUCCACCCCUUGAAUGCCAGAAGGGUUCCAACUGCGAUGUAUAGUGGAGAACUUAUUGGUUUGGGGGAAGGACGCGCCGCUAGUUUCUGCAAUAGAAGACUCUGCGAGAAUUCUGUCUUGCUUCAGGGAAAGCAUGCACAACAUAAGAGGGGAAGCAAAUCCAGCUGAGCGACAGAAAUACUGAUUCAC